rnacentral:rRNA from 1 species
UACAGAGGGGGCGAGCGUUAUUCGGAAUUAUUGGGCGUAAAGGGCGCGUAGGUGGCUUGACAAGUCAAAGGUGAAAUCCCUCGGCUCAACCGAGGAAUGGCCUUUGAAACUGUCGAGCUAGAGGCCGGGAGAGGGUAGUGGAAUUCCCAGUGUAGCGGUGAAAUGCGUAGAUAUUGGGAGGAACACCAGUGGCGAAGGCGGCUACCUGGACCGGUUCUGACGCUGAGGCGCGAAAGCGUGGGGAGCAAACAGG